rnacentral:rRNA from 1 species
AUUGAACGCUGGCGGCAUGCCUUACACAUGCAAGUCGAACGGCAGCACGGGUGCUUGCACCUGGUGGCGAGUGGCGAACGGGUGAGUAAUACAUCGGAACGUACCUUAUCGUGGGGGAUAACGCAGCGAAAGCUGUGCUAAUACCGCAUACGCCCUGAGGGGGAAAGCGGGGGAUCGCAAGACCUCGCGCGAUUAGAGCGGCCGAUGCCUGAUUAGCUUGUUGGUGGGGUAAAAGCCCACCAAGGCGACGAUCAGUAGCUGGUCUGAGAGGACGAUCAGCCACACUGGGACUGAGACACGGCCCAGACUCCUACGGGAGGCAGCAGUGGGGAAUUUUGGACAAUGGGGGCAACCCUGAUCCAGCAACGCUGCGUGAGUGAAGAAGGCCUUCGGGUUGUAAAGCUCUUUUGUCAGGGAAGAAACACCGGCUCUAACACAGUCCGGGAAUGACGGUACCUGAAGAAUAAGCACCGGCUAACUACGUGCCAGCCGCCGCCGUAA